UAGUUAUAUCUUCUUGAUGCAACUAAACCACUGUAACCAGUCAAGAACGAUCAAUACCAGAAAGGCACCCUCAUCACUACAACAAUGGAAGACCUCUAGACUUAAUAUUUUAUGAGGAGAUUUGAAUUUAGGUCUCUUCUAAAUCAGCAAAUCUGAUAUCCAACUGAUUAAAUUAGGUCAGUAUAUCAAUAUAUCUAACUAGCC
rnacentral:lncRNA from 1 species